rnacentral:misc_RNA from 1 species
CAGCCGCGUAAUUCCAGCUCCAAUAGCGUAUAUUAAAGUUGCUGCAGUUAAAAAGCUCGUAGUUGAAUUUCGGGACCAUCAUGUCGGUCGUGCCUCGGUACGUACUGGCAUUGUUGGUUUCUCCCUUCUGACGAACCAUGAUGUCAUUUAUUUGGUGUUGUGGGAAAUCAGGACUGUUACUUUGAAAAAAUUAGAGUGUUUAAAGCAGGCUCACGCUUGAAUACAUUAGCAUGGAAUAAUGAAAUAGGACGUUUGAUUCUAUUUUGUUGGUUUCUAGGAUCGACGUAAUGAUUAAUAGGGAUAGUUGGGGGCAUUAGUAUUCAAUUGUCAGAGGUGAAAUUCUUGGAUUUAUUGAAGACUAACUACUGCGAAAGCAUUUGCCAAGGAUGUUUUCAUUAAUCAAGAACGAAAGUUAGGGGAUCGAAGACGAUCAGAUACCGUCGUAGUCUUAACCAUAAACUAUGCCGACUAGGGAUCGGAUGAUGUUAAUUUUUUAAUGACUCAUUCGGCGCCUUACG